rnacentral:rRNA from 1 species
CAGUCGCCGCGGUAAAACGGAGGGUGCAAGCGUUAAUCGGAAUUACUGGGCGUAAAGCGCACGCAGGCGGUCUGACAAGUCAGAUGUGAAAUCCCCGGGCUUAACCUGGGAACCGCAUUUGAAACUGUCAGGCUGGAGUCUUGUAGAGGGGGGUGGAAUUCCAGGUGUAGCGGUGAAAUGCGUAGAGAUCUGGAGGAAUACCGGUGGCGAAGGCGGCCCCCUGGACAAAGACUGACGCUCAGGUGCGAAAGCGUGGGGAGCAAACAGGAUUAGAUACCCCUGUAGUCCCUGUCUCUUAUAU